ACGAUUUUCCCGUCACUGUCCGUCAUCUCUUCCGGCGCGCCGUUCACAUCCGUGUGAAAAUACAGUAUCCGGUUCGGGCCCUCUUUGCCUGCCUUAUCCACCCGCGCCAGCGGUUCAUAACUCCCCUGGUCCCUGUAGAUAUACAGGCUGCCUGUUCCCUCCGGCCUGCUCUCCUGCGCCAGCCGCAUUCCGUCCCAUAAAAAUUUUGUCCGGUUGUACGGUUUACCGUCAGGGCAGGGCAAGAUUACGAAAGCCCGCUCCCCGCAAGGACUGACGCCAGAUAGUUUCUGUCCAUGGCUGCUUUUCGCAUCUUACGUCUUAACCCUGCCUUGAAUACCUUAUCAUUCGUCAAAAUAUUAAUAGCAAUGUGCCGUAUCCCUGAAAAUAAUUCUGCUGCAUUUCCUCUUCUUAUUUUGCAGUCGUCUUCAUUCAUUACCACGUCCAGACGCCAGUGCAGCUUAUUCUCCACGUGCCAGUGAUUUCGGAUCGCUGUGGCGAAUUUCUCAGCGGUUAAAUCAGCAGAACUGAUAUAAUAUCUGACCGUCAUUUCUGGCUCUUUCUUUUGUUCUGCUAUUAUGGACCGAAAGGAGACUGCCACGCAUAAUUUCUUCAGCCCUUUCCAUUCAAACGUGAAAUCAAUAAGUUCAUCAGGGACAUCGCAAACAAUAUGAAGACGGAUUUCUUCUCUGCCGUGACUCUUUUCACUAAUUGCGUAACUGUCAUGCUCUGGAUUAUUUAAUUCUUUCAGCGGAAAUUUUUCCUCAAAGGCUUUAUUUAGCCGCCCCUGGUUUCCUUUUACCGCGAAUAAAUAAUCACCUCCCUGUUUUUGUAUCUUCUCUGCAAUAUCUUUCUGGCAACCCAUCGCAUCAGUUGUGAUGAUUUUCCUUUAAUAUCCAGCAUGUUAAGAAGUUCUGGGAUAGCUGUAAUCUCAUUAGAUUUCUCAUCCGUCUUGAUCUGUCCGAUGACCAGACUGUGCAUUGUUGAGAACGCACUAAUGACAUGAAUCGCUCCCCUGCGGCGACUCUUGUCAUAAGAGUGCCGGAGCGUUUUUCCAUCAAUUGCAAUGACGUCUUUAUCAUCUGAAGAAUGGCAGUCACGCAUCCAGUUAAUAAAGCACUCGUGAAAUUUUGCAGGACUGAUACAGGAUACAACUCUGGCAAUGGUAUCGUGAACAGGAAUACCAUUUUCAAAAUCACCAUAUUGCUUCAAAAAAUCGAGAUGUGUUUCCCCAAAAUCCUCUAUAUCUUCCCAACCUUCCGCACCAGAAAUAACGGCACAAAUAGUCAACAAUAGAAUAUCCGAUAAUUUAUGUUCCACUUUCCAGGCUUGUCUGUAAUCGGGGAUAAUAGAAAUAUGUUCCAUCAAUUUUUUAAGUUCCAUUUUGUUCUCCUUAAUUAUGUAAGGAGUAUUUGAUCAUGUAUAAGCAAUAAAAAACAGCUUCAGGUAAUAAGGAAUAUCUCAAUUUUUAAACAUAAAAUGCGAAUUAUUUAGUACAAAAAGUGAACUUCUGAUGAUCUUUCCCUGCCCAUAGCUCUUAAAACCAUACGGUAUGCCUACACCAGAUAAGCCAAACGGAUCGAUCCAUGACAGCGGAUUCGGCGCAUAAGCAUAUAAGUUUAACCCGCCUCUCAGCCCUAUCGGGUCAUCGGGACGAUCCGGUGGGGGUCACACUUUUUAACACGCUACCGCCCGCGCCGUUUCUGGCUUCCCGGCUAUCACCUUUUACUUAUUUAACAGCACGUUAACCCAGCUUUCCCGACGCGCGUUUUCACGCCCGCUCACCCAUAUCACCACCACCACGAACCUGUCAUUCCGCUUUCCACUAAGUCCGUUUCCGGCACCCCGUGACGGGGUGCCGCCAGGCCGCCACCGGCGGCAUGGCGGGGCCACGGCGCGGGGUCUGCGGGUGCGGG
rnacentral:rRNA from 1 species